AGCCCAUGAUGGUAUGAGAGUAGUGGACAG
rnacentral:piRNA from 2 species